GGUCCCAGUACAAUGGUGUUUACAAUGAAUUGAUCACAGCCAGUUACAGAUUUCUUUACUCCUUCUCCACUCCCAUUGCUUGACUUGACU
rnacentral:Y_RNA from 1 species